AUGAUAUAUUAUUGUAAUUACUUGAACAUCAGAAUUAAUCAGAAAGAAUUUGUCGACUUCAUCUUUAAAAAGGGGGAGAAAACCCCCAGAACAGAAGAGGGUAUGGCUAAAUGUUUAACAUUUGCUAAAGCUGGCUGUUGGUUACAUUUUUUGCUGUCCUUUUCUGUAUCCUUGACGAUUUCAUCAUUUAAAAUGAAAUCAUGCUCUCGGGCCCAGCCUGAUUGGUGGAGAGCAGCUGCCGCCCCGCCACAUCGAGGGGGCGGGCCCGGCGACGCCACCGGCACUUCCUCCGCCGCAGUCGCCGCCUGCCCGGCUGCUGUCUGGCGGGGGAGGAGCUGGAGACCCGGAGCAGCCCCGGCGGCCCUGACGCUCGGCGGCCCGAGAGCUCCGCUCGUCCGGAGGAGCGCGCGGCUGUCAGCCCUGGGGCCUCACCGCUACUUGGCAUCCAGCAUGGGCUUUGCCAGGGCAUCUCCAGUGUGGGCAUCCUGGACUGCACAUGGGAAGGCCCCAGCGUGCCUGCCCUGAAGGGAUGGCCCUGCUACACCCACUCCCUCCCAGCAGGGUGCCUAGAGGGGUAGAUGGGAGUUACUCGUCCCACCUGCAGGAACAGCAGAACCCGGGUACCUCCUCAAGACCAGUGCACCCGGCCUGGCUUUGUUUCCCUGGAAGAUGAGGCUUUAUAUGGGGCCCAGAGGGCAACUUCCCGAGGGGUGAGCUUGUCAACAGAGUGGAUGGGAAGGAAGGGAGGAGGUUGUGGAAUUUGCACCCUUGGAGGAGGUCACAAAGACCGGGGGACUUUGGGCACAGACAUAUCCAAGUCUGAGGUCCCAUUCUACUGCUUUUGAGCUGUGAGAGCAUCAGUGAGUCACUUUUGUCAUAUUAAGGUUCAGUUUCAAGGCCCCUGGGCUGCUCAGUCGGUUAAGCAUCUGCUUUCGGCUCAGGUCAUGGUCCCAGGGUCCGGGGAUCGAGCUCAUCGGGCUCCCUGCUCAGCGAAGAGCCUGCUUCUCCCUUUCCCUCUCCCUGCCGCUCUGCCUACUUGUGCGCGCGCGCUCUCUCUCUCUCUUUCUCUCUCUAAUAAAUAAAUAAAUAAAUAAAUAAAUAAAUAAAAUCCUUUUUUAAAAAGGCUGUCUCUUCACCUGUGACAUGGAAUCCAGAGCUCUACCUCACAGAGCCCUGGCAACAGUGAAGCUACCACGUGGAAAGAAACACACUGAGCUGAUCUGGGCCCCUUUGAGCCCUACCCGGUUUCCCCCCAUUUUACUCCAGUAUGGGGGUGGUGGUGCAGAAAAGAUGCCUGCACAUGGACGGGAGUGUAUGUGUCUGUGUACUUGAGGUACACGUGGGCUGGUGGUAGGGUGCUGCAGUAUUUCUAGCUCCUCUGUCCCAUUUCGUCUAUUCUCUCUUGGUGACAUUUUUUUUUAAGAUUUUAUUUAUUUAUUCAUGAGAGACACAGAGAAAGAGGCAGAGACAUAGGCAGAGGGAGAAGCAGGCUCCCUGCGGGGAGGCUGAAGCAAGACUCAACCCCAGGACCCUGGGAUCAGGACCUGAGCCGAAGGCAGCCACUCAACUACUGAGCCACCCAGGCAUCCCUCCAGGUGACAUUUUCAUGUCAAACUCAGGAACAUCCUUUCUCUUUCUGAGCUGCAGUUCAACAACCGCCUGAAGCAGGGUCUCUGCCCCACCCCUAACCCCUGACCCUCUCACCAGGACACUGAGCAGAGCUCAGGGAGGUGUGAGUGUGAGGCCCUGGCACUGGUCAUUGCCCUCUGUGGGUGGCACCACUGUGUGGCCUCUUCUACGAGUUGUGGAAAGGAGGCCCUGCCCUGCUCAGGCCACCCAGGCCUCCCAGCAUCUGAAGCCUUGCGGGGCAGGAAGGGACAGGCCUAGGCAGGUGGGGUCCUGUUCCCCUCAAGUCCUACCCUUAGGCUGCCGAGCAACUGCGAGGCAGAGUGUGUGGAGGGAUGGUCUGGCCCAGGCCUGGGAAUAUGCAGCAUGUGCUCAUAUCAUCCCUACUAGAGAUGGAAGAGAGGCAGGUUGGUGUAGGGCCCCAGUCUAGGGUGGGGGAGGCAGAAAGUGAGCAGUGAGCUGACUACUUGGUGGAAGAGGCUAGGGUGGGGGCAGUACCCCCUCCGGGAAGUCUUCCAGUGCCUUACCUGCCUCUCCCAGCACAGUUCUCAAGGUGGGUAUCUCCACACUGCCCGAAGAAGCCACUCCAUUUCCCACCCCUCCCCUCUUCUUUCUACUGUGCUGUGUUCCUGCUCCUCCUGCUCCUCCUCCUCUUCCUCCUCUUCCUCCUCUUCCUCCUCGAAGCCUACUUGGCUGUUGACACCUUGGAGAUACUUGUAGAUCACUAUCUCAGGAGGCCGUUGGCCUGACUCAUCACUGAGCCCAGCCCUGUCUGCUGGCUCCUUUCAUCUUCCCCUCUCAGCCAAUCCCUCUUUAACCUUAAUCAUUUUCUCUCUCCCUCUAAAUGUCCCCCCAGCCAAUCUGGCUCCCCACUUCUCUACCUUGCCUGUUCUUGGGAAUUCUUCAUGCCACUAUCUUCUAGAGCAGUAAAGGCCACUGGAACAUGGCCCAAGACUGUGAUUUGGUGGCUCUCUCGCUCCUGCACCAGUGUGGACCAAUGGCUUGACUUUGCUGGGCCUCAGUUUCCUCUUCUGACAGAAUGGGCAACAAUGAUGCCAGCCCUGCCAACAUUACAGGCCUGUAGUGAGGAGCAUGAUGAGAUCAAGCCUGUGAACAGCCUUUUGGAGACUCGGAGGUGGCAUACUUGGAUGAGACUGGCAAGGACCUGAGAAGGAAAGAAUGCACUUUGCACUUACUUUGAGACUCUCUUCAGCUCUACUACUGACCCCAUAGCCCUGCUUUCUGGCUUGCCUGCUCACACUUUCCACCUCUGUGUCUCCCCAUCCCUUUUCUGUCUUGGCCACUUACUCUCCCCUGGUCUGUCUGUCUGUCUGUCUCUCUCUCUCUGUAAAGAAUACCCUACCCUACCAGCUGUACUGCCAGCCUAGGACAGUGCCCACUGUCCCCUGAGGGAAGGAGCAGGCAAGCUGAAGGCUGCAGACCAGCAGACCCCAGGGAGAGUGUGACUCUACCUCCAUAGUCCCAGAGAUGAGAAGGGCCUGGGCACAGGAUUUUUCCCCAAGUGCUUAGGCCACAGUUGGGCUGCGGAUGGCGUUGAGGGUGUGGAUUAGUGUGCAUAGGAUCAUGUUAUUUUUAGAAACCAAACUGGUCCCUGAUCAUUUCCCUCUUCAAAUGUUGUCCCUGUUCCACUGAAGGCGUGUCUUAAACUGGCGUUGGCCUGCUCCCCUUCUCUGGUUCUCCGUGUCCACAUCUGUGCAGUAAGAGUGGCUGGACUGGGAAACAGACAAGGGUCAUUCCAGCCUGAACUCUCUGUUACCCAACAAAUUCUACCUUAUCAGCCAUGUGUCCCAUAAGGCCCUGGGAGUUUUUCUCUCUGGGGGCCAGGUCUGGCAGCUUCACUUGUGCAACCUCGAACCUCAGCAGCUCGCUUUCCAGUUUGCCUUCAAAUAGAUCCCUUGCUAGGACAGCCAGCACCAGUGUCCCAGAGAGGAGUGCCAUCCGGUGGGGGCAGGCAUGGGUUUGCAGAGGGUGGCCUCAGGACAGUGAGAGAGCUGACAGUCUCCCCAGUAGGCAGCGGAGACAGAACAUCCAGGGUUCUAAUCCCAGCAGCUCGGCCACUGACACUCUGUGGUGUUCCGGACAAGUUACUUCUUUCUCUUAGACCAAGUGCCAUGUCAUCCAGAAAAUGGGGAUGAAAGUCUCACCAUCACAGGAUAAAGAAAGGAGCUGGUGCAAGUGCUAGACACCAUGCCAGCCUCAUCAGAGCUGCUGCAAAAUAUUGCUGCCUUCCUUCCCCAGUCUUCUUGGAGCAAACUUUCCCAGUGCCCUCCUCUUCCCUUCACACACACCUUUUCCCACGCUGGGAAGAGCAGCCAUAGAUAGGCCUGUCCCCUCUGGGAAGCAUAGGCAGCCAGCUGGGGGGCUGGGGUUCACACUUGGUGCUUCUGCAGCUGCAGGAAACCUCUUGGAAGCCACCGGAGGGAGAGAGAGGGAGAGAGAGAAAAGCAGAGAGACAAAGAGAGAGCCAAAGAAAUAGCAUAGAGGCGGACCCACUGGAGGACGCAGAAAGAUGGACAGAAGCGGGAACAGAGCAGGGAGAGGCAGAAGGAGAGAGAAAGGCUGGGGCGGAGAAGAGAAGCAGAGAGAGGGGGCAACAGAUGCAAGUCGGAGGCAGGGAGCAAGGCAGACAGUGGGAUGGAGAGGUAAGGGCCCACAGCAAGAGUCCCAGACAAAGGGAGAAGGAAACAAAGGCAGGAAGCCAAGGCAAUGGAGAACUAGAAGGGGAAGAAAGGGAGGGAGGGGGAGGAGGGGGAGGGGCGCUGGAGGGGAGGAGAGGUAGUUGUUAGUUCAGGGCUCAGCACAGGGCUGACACAGCACAUUCUCUCCACUCUCAUCUCCCUCCCACUGCUGGCCUCUGGCUCCC
rnacentral:lncRNA from 1 species